rnacentral:rRNA from 1 species
GAUGAACGCUAGCGGGAGGCUUAAUACAUGCAAGUCGAGCGGCAAGUUUUGAUAGCAAUAUUGGAACCUAGAGCGGCGCACGGGUGAGUAACGCGUACAUGACCUGCCCUAUACUGGGGGAUAGUCUUGGGAAACUGAGAAUAAUCCCGCAUGUGAUUAGAAUGCUGCAUGGCAAAUUAAUUAAAGCUGAGGCGGUAUAGGAUGGGUGUGCGUCUGAUUAGCUAGUUGGUAGUGUAACGGACUACCAAGGCGAUGAUCAGUAGGGGGCGUGAGAGCGUGACCCCCCCAACGGGUACUGAGACACGGACCCGACUCCUACGGGAGCAGCAGUAAGGAAUAUGGUCAAUGGAGGGAACUCUGAACCAGCCAUCCCGCGUGAAGGAUGAAGGGGCUCUGCCUUGUAAACUUCUUUUGCAUGGGACGAAAAAACUUAUUUAUUAAGGACUGACGGUACCAUGAGGAAUAAGCACCGGCUAACUCCGUGCCAGCAGCCG